rnacentral:rRNA from 1 species
CCUACGGGAGGCAGCAGUGGGGUAAUAUUGGACAAUGGGCGAAAGCCUGAUCCAGCCAUGCCGCGUGUGUGAAGAAGGUCUUCGGAUUGUAAAGCACUUUAAGUUGGGAGGAAGGGUUGUAGAUUAAUACUCUGCAAUUUUGACGUUACCGACAGAAUAAGCACCGGCUAACUCUGUGCCAGCAGCCGCGGUAAUACAGAGGGUGCAAGCGUUAAUCGGAAUUACUGGGCGUAAAGCGCGCGUAGGUGGUUUGUUAAGUUGGAUGUGAAAUCCCCGGGCUCAACCUGGGAACUGCAUUCAAAACUGACUGACUAGAGUAUGGUAGAGGGUGGUGGAAUUUCCUGUGUAGCGGUGAAAUGCGUAGAUAUAGGAAGGAACACCAGUGGCGAAGGCGACCACCUGGACUAAUACUGACACUGAGGUGCGAAAAGCGUGGGGGAGCAAAACAGGAUUAGAUACCCUGGUAGUCCACGCCGUAAAACCGAUAGUCAACUAGCCGUUGGAAGCCUUUGAAGUCGUUUAGUUGGUCGGCGAGACGUAACGACGAUAAAGUUAGUACCGCCGUCGGGAGGGUAACGGGUACCGGCCGAACGUUAAAACCGUUAAACCGUUAAAAGUUAAGUAAGUUAGUUAGGCGNGAGAGAGCCGACGGACGACGACGACGGGAGGAGGAGG